GAUGAACGCUGGCGGCGUGCUUAACACAUGCAAGUCGAACGAAGCGCUUAAGAUUGAUUCUUCGGAUGAUUUCCUUUGCGACUUAGUGGCGGACGGGUGAGUAACGCGUGGGUAACCUGCCUCACACAGGGGGAUAACAGUUAGAAAUGACUGCUAAUACCGCAUAACCCGAUAGGAUCGCAUGAUCCAGACGGAAAAGAUUUAUCGGUGUGAGUUGGACCCGCGUCUGAUUAGCUAGUUGGUGAGGUAACGGCCCACCAAGGCGACGAUCAGUAGCCGGCCUGAGAGGGUGAACGGCCACAUUGGGACUGAGACACGGCCCAAACUCCUACGGGAGGCAGCAGUGGGGAAUAUUGCACAAUGGGGGAAACCCUGAUGCAGCGACGCCGCGUGAGUGAAGAAGUAUUUCGGUAUGUAAAGCUCUAUCAGCAGGGAAGAAAAUGACGGUACCUGACUAAGAAGCCCCGGCUAACUACGUGCCAGCAGCCGCCGUAA
rnacentral:rRNA from 1 species